rnacentral:rRNA from 1 species
AGAGUUUGAUCCUGGCUCAGGAUGAACGCUGGCGGCGUGCCUAACACAUGCAAGUCGAACGGAGCUGCUUUGAUGAAGUUUUCGGAUGGAUUUAAAACAGCUUAGUGGCGGACGGGUGAGUAACGCGUGGGUAACCUGCCUCACACUGGGGGAUAACAGUUAGAAAUAGCUGCUAAUACCGCAUAAGCGCACAGUUCCGCAUGGAACGGUGUGAAAAACUCCGGUGGUGUGAGAUGGACCCGCGUCUGAUUAGCCAGUUGGCGGGGUAACGGCCCACCAAAGCGACGAUCAGUAGCCGGCCUGAGAGGGUGAACGGCCACAUUGGGACUGAGACACGGCCCAAACUCCUACGGGAGGCAGCAGUGGGGAAUAUUGCACAAUGGGGGAAACCCUGAUGCAGCGACGCCGCGUGAGUGAAGAAGUAUUUCGGUAUGUAAAGCUCUAACAGCAGGGAAGAAAGUGACGGUACCUGAAUAAGAAGCCCCGGCUAACUACGUGCCAGCAGCCGCGGUAAUACGUAGGGGGCAAGCGUUAUCCGGAUUUACUGGGUGUAAAGGGAGCGUAGAAGGCAAGGCAAGUCUGAAGUGAAAGCCCGGUGCUUAACGCCGGGAUUGCUUUGGAAACUGUUUAGCUGGAGUGCCGGAGAGGUAAGCGGAAUUCCUAGUGUAGCGGUGAAAUGCGUAGAUAUUAGGAAGAACACCAGUGGCGAGGCGGCUUACUAGACGGUAACUGACGUUGAGGCUCGAAAGCGUGGGGAGCAAACAGGAUUAGAUACCCUGGUAGUCCACGCCGUAAACGAUGAU